GUCAGCCGCCGCGGUAAUACCGGCGGCUCGAGUGGUGGCCGCUUUAUUGGGCUUAAAGCGUCGUAGCUGGGUCGUUAAGUCUCUUGGGAAAUCCGGCAGCUUAACUGUCGGGCGUCUAAGAGAUACUGGCGAUCUUGGAACCGGGAGAGGUGAGGGGUACUUCGGGGGUAGGAGUGAAAUCCUGUAAUCCUCGAGGGACCACCUGUGGCGAAGGCGCCUCACCAGAACGGCUUCGACAGUGAGGGACGAAAGCUGGGGGAGCAAACCGGAUUAGAUACCCGGGUAGUCCCAGCCGUAAACGAUGUGCGUUAGGUGUAUCGACGACCACGAGUCGUCGGGGUGCCGAAGGGAAACCGUGAAACGUACCGCCUGGGAAGUACGGUCGCAAGGCUGAAACUUAAAGGAAUUGGCGGGGGAGCACCACAACAGGUGGAGCCUGCGGUUUAAUUGGACUCAACGCCGGGAAGCUCACCGGAUAAGACAGCUGAAUGAUUGCCGGGCUGAAGACUCUGCAUGACUAGCUGAGAGGAGGUGCAUGG
rnacentral:rRNA from 1 species